rnacentral:rRNA from 1 species
GACGAACCGAGCGAACGUUGUUCGGAAUCACUGGGCUUAAAGGGCGCGUAGGCGGGUGCUCAAGUCCGGGGUGAAAUCCUCCAGCUCAACUGGAGAACUGCCUCGGAUACUGGGUGUCUCAAGUGUGGUAGGGGUAUGCGGAACUAUCGGUGGAGCGGUGAAAUGCGUUGAUAUCGAUAGGAACUCCGGUGGCGAAGGCGGCAUACUGGACCACUACUGACGCUGAUGCGCGAAAGCGUGGGGAGCAAACAGG